rnacentral:rRNA from 1 species
GAUGAACGCUGGCGGCGUGCCUAAUACAUGCAAGUCGAGCGAACAGACGAGGAGCUUGCUCCUCUGACGUUAGCGGCGGACGGGUGAGUAACACGUGGAUAACCUACCUAUAAGACUGGGAUAACUUCGGGAAACCGGAGCUAAUACCGGAUAAUAUUUUGAACCGCAUGGUUCAAUAGUGAAAGACGGUUUUGCUGUCACUUAUAGAUGGAUCCGCGCCGCAUUAGCUAGUUGGUAAGGUAACGGCUUACCAAGGCGACGAUGCGUAGCCGACCUGAGAGGGUGAUCGGCCACACUGGAACUGAGACACGGUCCAGACUCCUACGGGAGGCAGCAGUAGGGAAUCUUCCGCAAUGGGCGAAAGCCUGACGGAGCAACGCCGCGUGAGUGAUGAAGGUCUUCGGAUCGUAAAACUCUGUUAUUGGGGAAGAACAAAUGUGUAAGUAACUAUGCACGUCUUGACGGUACCUAAUCAGAAAGCCACGGCUAACUACGUG